ACUCAAAUGAAUAGACGGGGGCUCACACAAGCGGUGGAGCAUGUGGCUUAAUUCGAGGCAACGCGAAGAACCUUAUCCUGGGCUUGACAUGCAUGGAUCAACCCGAUGAAAGUCGGGCCACACUCGCAAGAGCGGAACAUGCACAGGUGCUGCAUGGCUGUCGUCAGUUCGUGUCGUGAGAUGUCGCGUUAAGUCGCUAAACGAACGCAACCCCUAUCUUUAGUUGCCAGCGCGUCAUGGCGGGGACUCUAAAGAGACUGCCGGUGUCAAACCGGAGGAAGGCAGGGAUGACGUCAAGUCCUCAUGGCCUUUAUGCCCAGGGCUGCACACGUGCUACAAUGGGGCGUACAAAGCGCCGCUAAGUCGCGAGACCACGCUAAUCGCAAAAAGCGUCCCCCAGUACGGAUUGCAGGCUGCAACUCGCCUGCAUGAAGCCGGAAUCGCUAGUAAUCGCCGAUCAGCAUUGCGGCGGUGAAUGUGUUCCUGAGCCUUGUACACACCGCCCGU
rnacentral:rRNA from 1 species